rnacentral:rRNA from 1 species
GACGAACGCUGGCGGCGUGCUUAACACAUGCAAGUCGAACGGUAAGGCCCUUUCGGGGGUACACGAGUGGCGAACGGGUGAGUAACACGUGGGUGAUCUGCCCUGCACUUUGGGAUAAGCCUGGGAAACUGGGUCUAAUACCGGAUAGGACUACGCGAUGCAUGUCGUGUGGUGGAAAGCUUUUGCGGUGUGGGAUGGGCCCGCGGCCUAUCAGCUUGUUGGUGGGGUGAUGGCCUACCAAGGCGACGACGGGUAGCCGGCCUGAGAGGGUGUCCGGCCACACUGGGACUGAGAUACGGCCCAGACUCCUACGGGAGGCAGCAGUGGGGAAUAUUGCACAAUGGGCGCAAGCCUGAUGCAGCGACGCCGCGUGGGGGAUGACGGCCUUCGGGUUGUAGACCCCUUUCAGCACAGACGAAGCGUAAGUGACGGUAUGUGCAGAAGAAGCACCGGCCAACUACGUG